CAGGUCCAGCAGUGUCCAUCUGCAGGAAGUGUGUAAGAUAAACAGGCGUCAUGGCGGAUGGAAGCAGGGCCAGGACAGACAGGACAGACCCCUUUCCCAGUUGUCUUGAAAAUACCAUAAAUCCAGAGGAUGCCAGACUUUGAUGACAAAUUUUGAUAAGAAAAUGUUCCCACAAAGCACUGCCGCACCACCUUCCUGUUCAAGUGAGCACAGCACAACAAGACAGGUGUGCUGGAGGCAGAGCAGAUCUCCACCAGCUGCAACAUGUUCCAUAAUCAAGACCACUACAAAUACUCAGGCCUGCCACUUCCACGCUGCCAGAUCGUAACCUCUGCUCAUUUUGUCUGCUCUGACUCUGGUCCCUGUCUCCAGUUCCACAUCUCGUCAGUCCUGCUACUCUGUCCUGGAUCCCCCACUCUACCGCUUACUUGGAUUUCUCUCCGGACCUGCUUACCCAGCCCCAACUCCCCUAGCUCCAGGCUCAGCCUCAGAACCUGCCUCCCUGCAACCCGCCCAAGCUUUCCCUGGCCUGCACCCCAUAUUUGUCAGUAAAUAACUUGGUUACCUUAUCCCAGUCUCCUCCUCUAAGUCUUAUAGUGAAAUUCAUGUAUUGUUUAGUGUUGUGCUGUGUUGUCUAGUGGCUUUACUGGCAUGCCCCACCAAUAUUUACAUUCUAAAAUCACCACUGUAUAGCCCUAUAGGAUAUAGCCUAGCUUUUAGGAGGACGAUUUGCAGGCAGA